rnacentral:rRNA from 1 species
AGGAUAAACGCUGGCGGCGUGCCUAACACAUGCAAGUCGAACGCCCUUACGCAAGUAGGGAGUGGCGGACGGGUGAGGAACACGUGGGUUAUCUGCCUUUCGGUGAGGAAUACCAGCGAGAAAUCGCUGACAAUACCGCAUACGGUUCUUUCGAGAGGAAGAACGAAAGUCGUAAGACGCCGGGAGAUGAGCCUGCGCCCGAUUAGUUUGUUGGUGGGGUAAAAGCCUACCAAGACUGCAAUCGGUAGCUGGUCUGAGAGGACGAUCAGCCACACUGGGAUUGAGAACGGCCCAGACUCCUACGGGGGGCAGCAGUGAGGAAUUUUCGUCAAUGGGGGAAACCCUGAACGAGCAACGCCGCGUGCAGGAAGAAGGUUUUCGGAUCGUAAACUGCUUUUCUGUGGGAAGAGAACGGACGGUACCACAGGAAGAACGCCCCGGCUAACUACGCGCCAGCAGCCGC